rnacentral:misc_RNA from 1 species
GAAGAACUCACCUAACCCGUAUUUAUCAAAUUGAUGAUCAAUAUCCCAGCACUCAUUGCUACAAAAGAAAAUCAGGAAUUACAGGUGAUUGUGCUGCUAAUGUUAGAGCCCCGUCUGCCCUUUGUCUGGAUUUAUGCUUGCCAUGGUGAUGGCUAACCUUCUGCUUAUCUCCUUCUUCAUGUUCAUUUCUAUCUUUUGCAGUACUUCUAUGUUUCUUCUCUUUACCACGAGAAUGGCGUUUGCUUCUUCUCAAAUUUACAUUUUCUAGUUCAGAAUUCUCCAUCAU